rnacentral:rRNA from 1 species
UACGUAGGGAGCAAGCGUUGUCCGGAAUCAUUGGGCGUAAAGAGCUCGUAGGCGGUCUGUUGCGUCCGCUGUGAAAACUCGGGGCUUAACCCCGAGCCUGCAGUGGAUACGGGCAGACUAGAGGUAGGUAGGGGAGAAUGGAAUUCCCGGUGUAGUGGUGAAAUGCGUAGAUAUCGGGAGGAACACCGGUGGCGAAGGCGGCAUCCUGGACCGGUAUUGACGCUGAGGCGCGAAAGCUAGGGGAGCAAACGGGG